CGCAGUCCCCGUUCCCCUCCGACUGCGCAGCUCGCCCACGCUCGCUCGCCCCCUUGUCGGCGACGCCUCGCAGCUCCCCCACGCUGAGCCGCGGCGCCGCUCGCCCGCGCAACUCCCCCGCCCAGUUCUCUCCUCCCUACCCUGCAAAUCCUGCUUCCGCCGCGCCACAGCUCCCCCGCGAAGCUCAAGGAACGGCUUUGCCCCUUCCUUGAGUCCCUCGUCGCCAUGGCUUGCGUCCUCCUUCCUUCUCCAUGGUGAGCUCCUCCCUGCUGCCUCCAUCCAUGUCCGCCAUCGAGCAGGACAUGGUGGCGGCCAGAUCCACGCCUGCUCGUCAGGAGACGGACGCCAUGGAGCUGUUCAUCAAGGUCCUACCUUGGUGAGUGCUGACGCCAAGCAGGCGUGCUGCGCCGGUGAGUCGCUCUAGAAGGAGCUUGAGGAGAUGGGUGUGCCGGUGUGUCAAGAUCUGUCGCUGGUGUGCUGUAAGGAGUAGAAUUCUGAAUUUAAGUUGGAGACAACAUUUCUGAACCUUGUUUAUUCUGAAUCAUUUAAGUUGGAGUACUUUGAUUGGAAAUUCGUAUGGACUUUGAUUGGAAAUUCUUCACAAUCUGAAUUUUCAGGUAUAAAACUGGGCUUUACACAACUGGGUGUUUUCAGGUACUCCAUCAGAGGAGCAGCUCUUCCAUGGGGUCCAACAGCGUUUCCAGUCACAGGUAUACGUAUUAUCUGAAACUAUGUCCUCCUCCUUGCGACGAGCCAGACGACACAAGCAAAGGCUCCCCCUUGCAAGCUCGACGGCAGCGGCUGCUCGACGACGGCAGCGGCUGCUCGACGACGGCAAGCAGUACGAAGAGAUCUCAAUCUUACUAAGAUCCUGUUCGUGGGCGGGUUAGUGGCUGUCGACCACAACCACCACCACCAGUAGCCGGCGGCCGAAUCGGGGGCGAAGUGGACCAGCGCUGCGGCGGUGGGCGGCAGAAUUGGGGGCAAAGUGGACCAGAGUGGCGGCGGUGGACGGCGGAAUCAGGGGCAAAGUGGACCAGCGCAACGGCGGUGGGUGGCGGAGGCCCUGCUCGUGGGUGGGCGGCGGAGGUCCUCCUGGGCGGACUCGUCGGCGGUGCAGGGCCUGUUGUGGGUGGCCUCCUGGGCGGGCUCGUCGGCAGAGCAGGACCUGCUUGGGCAACGGGCGGCUGGCCAUGGCGCCGCGCGGGCGACGGACGGAGGAGGAAGAACGAGAUGGAGACUUAUUUGUCAGAGCUUUAGAAGUUUAAAGCUUUUCUGCAAAAACAUCAUUGUACUGUGCGUGCGACAUGAAUUUCAGGACGAAGGGAGUAUGUGCUUAAUAAGGAAGGGCGGCUGAAGACUAUGUUCUGAUGCGGUU